UGAAAAGAGCUUGACUGAACAGUUUAAUAGGAUUUCUGUAAGUUGCUAAGUCUGAGGAGGCAAUUUUGGUCGAGUCUUUUUUAGUUUUUCUUUCAGGAAAGCAAACAAGGAAAAAGAGUUCAGGAGACCACCAGUAGUUGAUCUGCUCUUCCGUUUUGCAUUGACAUCUUUCUGCGCCUUUUGUCGUGAGCCUUUACUUUACUUUAUUGUCCAAAUGGAGUAUGCCUGGUACUGGCAGGAUGAACAUGGAGAGUGGAUUGAAUAUGGGCAACUGCAAUCGAAUCAUAGUGCUGCUACAAUAACUUCUGAGGAACUCGAAGAGGCCUUCCUAAAUAAUCAGAGAAAAACGGUUUUAUUUAAAGCAGGUUCUCAGUACUACGAAUUAAACUUUCAAGGUAAGGUUUGUUUAAGUUCUAAUAUACUACAACGUAACAGGCUUUUUUAACAUAGUUUCAUUCAUGCUAACUCAAGCAC
rnacentral:lncRNA from 1 species